ensembl:lncRNA
CACAGCGCAUGCGCCAGCCGCGAGACCGCACAGCGCAUGCGCCAGCCGCGAGACCGCACAGCGCAUGCGCCUGUGUUUCUUCCCAUUUCCCCCCACUCUCCUCCUUCCCCGUUUGCCCUUCUCCUUCUUUUACACGUGCAUUUCCGUGUACACACGCAUGCAGUGUUUUUGGUUCCUCAUUUUGCAUGCGACUGGAGCCUGGCACGCUGAGAGCCAAAAUAGUCCGUGUCCGGCUCCGCUUUGGGUGUCAAACCGCCCGAGCAAAUAGGCACGGAGCACUCAGGAUUAGAAGAGAGAAAAGUACCGCUGAGCCGGAGCUCCUGGAAUUGACUGCCCGCCCGUAUAUACGGUCUGCGUGGGAAUGGAUGCUGCUUAUAUGCUUCGAGACUCAUACGCACCAUUGUGUGGAGGACUAAGUAGAGGAAACAUCGGCGGAAUUGCUAAGCAGAGCUUCUAGAAAGUAGCAUAUACCACUUCCACGUGCCUGUGCGCACGCGUCCUGCCGCCUCCGGCACAGAACAAACACGGCCGUACUUUCCCCGAUUGGCCACACGGGGGCAGCAGAGACUGCGGAAACUCCUUCCCAACCCGGCUGACGGCCCGCCGGGAACUGCGGCGGGGUUUCGUUUCUCUCUUUCCUUGGAUAGCAGAGGAAAGAAAUAACCACAGAAGAGGAAGGGGUCGGAGAAUGGGAGACGACGAAGAAAACCAAGGAAAACUUCGAUAGACACACACACUGUGUGAAGUGCUUAUGAAUACCUGUAAAUAAACAAAUAAGCAGCAAAAUCAUGUUCUAAUGCCUUUUUAGAAAAUAUUAUUACUUUUUUUUCAGCGAGCAUCUGAGGUGAUGAAAAAAACAUGGUAUCAACCAGACAGGCACACAGAGAAGCCACGAAUGGCCCUUAAAUGAGGUCGGGGAGGGGUGGCGUCAGGCUCAGCCCAUGUGAUCCCACAGCUGAAUUCCUUCCACAGCCGCCCCAUAGAGCCCCACAGCCGCCCCAUAGAGCCCCAUAGAGCCCCAUAGCCGCCCCAUAGAGCCCCAUAGAGCCCCAUAGAGCCCCAUAGAGCCCCACAGCCGCCCCAUAGAGCCCCAUAGAGCCCCAUAGAGUCCUAUAGAGCCCCAUAGAGCCCCAUAGAGCCCCACAGCCGCCCCAUAGAGCCCCACAGAGACCCAUAGAGCCCCAUAGAGCCCCACAGCCACCCCAUAGAGCCCCAUAGAGCCCCACAGCCGCCCCAUAGAGCCCCAUAGAGCCCCAUAGAGCCCCACAGCCGCCCCAUAGAGCCCCAUAGAGCCCCAUAGAGCCCUAUAGAGCCCCAUAGAGCCCCAUAGAGCCCCACAGCCGCCCCAUAGAGCCCCAUAGAGCCCCAUAGCCGCCCCAUAGAGCCCCAUAGAGCCCCAUAGAGCCCCAUAGCCGCCCCACAGAGCCCCAUAGAGCCCCAUAGAGCCCCAUAGAGCCCAAUAGCCGCCCCAUAGAGCCCCAUAGAGCCCCAUAGCCGCCCCAUAGAGCCCCAUAGAGCCCCAUAGAGCCCCAUAGCCGCCCCAUAGAGCCCCAUAGAGCCCCAUAGCCGCCCCAUAGCCGCCCCAUAGAGCCCCAUAGAGCCCCAUAGAGCCCCAUAGCCGCCCCAUAGAGCCCCAUAGAGCCCCAUAGCCGCCCCAUAGCCGCCCCAUAGAGCCCCAUAGCCGCCCCAUAGAGCCCCACAGAGCCCCAUAGAGCCCCAUAGCCGCCCCAUAGAGCCCCAUAGAGCCCCAUAGAGCCCCAUAGCCGCCCCAUAGAGCCCCAUAGAGCCCCAUAGCCGCCCCAUAGCCGCCCCAUAGAGCCCCAUAGAGCCCCAUAGAGCCCCACAGAGCCCCAUAGAGCCCCAUAGCCGCCCCAUAGAGCCACAUAGAGCCCCAUAGAGCCCCAUAGCCGCCCCAUAGAGCCCCAUAGAGCCCCAUAGAGCCCCAUAGCCGCCCCAUAGAGCCCCAUAGAGCCGCAUAGAGCCCCAAAGCCGCCCCAUAGAGCCCCAUAGAGCCCCAUAGAGCCCCAUAGAGCCCCAUAGCCGCCCCAUAGAGCCCCAUAGAGCCCCAUAGAGCCCCAUAGCCACCCCAUAGAGCCCCAUAGAGCCCCAUAGAGCCCCAUAGAGCCCCAUAGAGCCCCAUAGCCGCCCCAUUGAGCCCCAUAGAGCCCCAUAGCCGCCCCACAGAGACCCAUAGAGCCCCAUAGCCGCCCCACAGAGACCCAUAGAGCCCCAUAGAGCCCCAUAGAGCCCCAUAGCCGCCCCAUAGAGCCCCAUAGAGCCCCAUAGAGCCCCAUAGCCGCCCCAUUGAGCCCCAUAGAGCCCCAUAGCCGCCCCAUAGAGCCCCAUAGAGCCCCAUAGAGCCCCAUAGCCGCCCCAUAGAGCCCCAUAGAGCCCCAUAGAGCCCCAUAGAGCCCCAUAGCCGCCCCAUAGAGCCCCAUAGAGCCCCAUAGAACCCCAUAGAGCCCCAUAGCCGCCCCAUAGAGCCCCAUAGAGCCCCAUAGAGCCCCAUAGAGCCCCAUAGCCGCCCCAUAGAGCCCCAUAGAGCCCCAUAGAACCCCAUAGCCGCCCCAUAGAGCCCCAUAGAGCCCCAUAGAGCUUCAUAGCCGCCCCAUAGAGCCCCAUAGAGCCCCAUAGAGCCCCAUAGCCGCCCCAUAGAGCCCCAUAGAGCCCCAUAGAGCCCCAUAGCCGCGCCAUAGAGCCCCAUAGAGCCCCAUAGCCGCCCCAUAGAGCCCCAUAGAGCCCCAUAGAGCCCCACAGAGCCCCAUAGAGCCCCAUAGCCGCCCCAUAGAGCCCCAUAGAGCCCCAUAGCCGCCCCAUAGCCGUUCCAUAGAGCCCCAUAGAGCCCCAUAGCCGCCCCAUAGAGCCCCAUAGAGCCACAUAGCCGCCCCAUAGAGCCCCAUAGAGCCCCAUAGAGCCCCAUAGAGCCCCAUAGCCGCCCCAUAGAGCCCCAUAGAGCCCUUUAAAGCCCCAUAGCCGCCCCAUAGAGCCCCAUAGAGCCCCAUAGAGCCCCAUAGCCGCCCCAUAGAUCCCCAUAGAGCCCCACAGCCGCCCAUAGAGCCACAUAGAGCCCCAUAGAGCCCCAUAGAGCCCCAUAGCCGCCCCAUAGAGCCCCAUAGAGCCACAUAGCCGCCCCAUAGAGCCCCAUACAGUUCCAUAGCCGCCCCAUAGAGCCCCAUAGAGCCCCAUAGAGCCCCAUAGGCGCCCCAUAGAGCCCCAUAGAGCCCCAUAGAGCCCCAUAGCCGCCCCAUAGAGCCCCAUAGAGCCCCAUAGAGCCCCAUAGAGCCCCAUAGAGCCCCAUAGCCGCCCCAUAGAGCCCCAUAGAGCCCCAUAGAGCCCCAUAGAGCGCCAUAGCCGCCCCAUACAGCCCCACAGCCGCCCCAUAGAGCCCCAUAGCCGCCCCAUAGAUCCCCAUAGAGCCCCACAGCCGCCCCAUAGAGCCACAUAGAGCCCCAUAGAGCCCCAUAGAGCCCCAUAGCCGCCCCAUAGAGCCCCAUAGAGCCCCAUAGCCGCCCCAUAGAGCCCGAUAGAGCCCCAUAGCCGCCCCAUAGAGCCCCAUAGAGUUCCAUAGCCGCCCCAUAGAGCCCCAUAGAGCCCCAUAGAGCCCCAUAGCCGCCCCAUAGAGCCCCAUAGAGCCCCAUAGAGCCCCAUAGCCGCCCCAUAGAGCCCCAUAGAGUCCCAUAGAGCCCCAUAGAGCCCCAUAGCCGCCCCAUAGAGCCCCAUAGAGCCCCAUAGAGCCCCAUAGAGCCCCAUAGAGCCCCAUAGCCGCCCCAUAGCCGCCCCAUAGAGCCCCAUAGAGCCCCAUAGAGCCCCAUAGCCGCCCCAUAGAGCCCCAUAGAGCCCCAUAGAGCCCCAUAGAGCCCCAUAGCCGCCCCAUAGAGCCCCAUAGAGCCCCAUAGAGCCCCAUAGAGCGCCAUAGCCGCCCCAUAGAGCCCCACAGCCGCCCCAUAGAGCCCCAUAGCCGCCCCAUAGAUCCCCAUAGAGCCCCACAGCCGCCCCAUAGAGCCCCACAGCCGCCCCAUAGAGCCCCAUAGAGCCACAUAGCCGCCCCAUAGAGCCCCAUAGAGCCCCAAAGCCGCCCCAUAGAGCCCGAUAGAGCCCCAUAGCCGCCCCAUAGAGCCCCAUAGAGUUCCCAUAGCCGCCCCAUAGAGCCCCAUAGAGCCCCAUAGAGCCCCAUAGAGCCCCAUAGAGCCCUUAUAGCCGCCCCAUAGAGCCCCAUAGAGCCCCAUAGAGCCUCAUAGCCGCCCCAUAGAGCCCCAUAGAGCCCCAUAGCCGCCCCAUAGCCGCCCCAUAGAGCCCCAUAGAGCCCCAUAGAGCCCCAUAGCCGCGCCAUAGAGCCCCAUAGAGCCCCAUAGCCGCCCCAUAGAGCCCCAUAGAGCCCCAUAGAGCCCCACAGAGCCCCAUAGAGCCCCAUAGUCGCCCCAUAGAGCCCCAUAGAGCCCCAUAGCCGCCCCAUAGCCGUUCCAUAGAGCCCCAUAGAGCCCCAUAGCCGCCCCAUAGAGCCCCAUAGAGCCACAUAGCCGCCCCAUAGAGCCCCAUAGAGCCCCAUAGAGCCCCAUAGAGCCCCAUAGAGCCCCAUAGCCGCCCCAUAGAGCCCCAUAGAGCCCAUUCAGAGCCCCAUAGCCGCCCCAUAGAGCCCCAUAGAGCCCCAUAGAGCCCCAUAGAUCCCCAUAGAGCCCCAUAGCCGCCCCAUAGAGCCCCAUAGAGCCCCAUAGAGCCCCACAGCCGCCCCAUAGAGCCCCAUAGAGCCCCAUAGCCGCCCCAUAGAGCCCGAUAGAGCCCCAUAGCCGCCCCAUAGAGCCCCAUAGAGUUCCAUAGCCGCCCCAUACAGCCCCAUAGAGCCCCAUACAGCCCCAUAGGCGCCCCAUAGAGCCCCAUAGAGCCCCAUAGAGCCCCAUAGCCGCCCCAUAGAGCCCCAUAGAGCCCCAUAGAGCCCCAUAGAGCCCAUAGAGCCCCAUAGAGCCCCAUAGCCGCGCCAUAGAGCCCCAUAGAGCCCCAUAGCCGCCCCAUAGAGCCCCAUAGCCGCCCCAUAGAGCCCCAUAGAGCCCCAUAGCCGCCCCAUAGAGCCCCAUAGAGCCCCAUAGAGCCCCAUAGAGCGCCAUAGCCGCCCCAUAGAGCCCCACAGCCGCCCCAUAGAGCCCCAUAGCCGCCCCAUAGAUCCCCAUAGAGCCCCACAGCCGCCCCAUAGAGCCCCAUAGAGCCCCAUAGAGCCCCAUAGAGCCCCAUAGCCGCCCCAUAGAGCCCCAUAGAGCCCCAUAGAGCCCCAUAGCCGCCCCAUAGAGCCCCAUAGAGCCCCAUAGCCGCCCCAUAGCCGCCCCAUAGAGCCCCAUAGAGCCCCAUAGAGCCCCAUAGCCGCCCCAUAGAGCCCCAUAGAGCCCCAUAGAGCCCCAUAGAGCCCCAUAGCCGCCCCAUAGAGCCCCAUAGAGCCCCAUAGAGCCCCAUAGAGCGCCAUAGCCGCCCCAUAGAGCCCCACAGCCGCCCCAUAGAGCCCCAUAGCCGCCCCAUAGCCGCCCCAUAGAGCCCCAUAGAGUUCCCAUAGCCGCCCCAUAGAGCCCCAUAGAGCCCCAUAGAGCCCCAUAGGCGCCCCAUAGAGCCCCAUAGAGCCCCAUAGAGCCCCAUAGCCGCCCAUAGAGCCCCAUAGAGCCCCAUAGAGCCCCAUAGAGCCCCAUAGCCGCCCCAUAGAGCCCCAUAGAGCCCCAUAGAGCCCCAUAGCCGCCCCAUAGAGCCCCAUAGAGCCCCAUAGCCGCCCCAUAGCCGCCCCAUAGAGCCCCAUAGAGCCCCAUAGAGCCCCCUAGCCGCCCCAUAGAGCCCCAUAGAGCCCCAUAGAGCCCCAUAGAGCCCCAUAGCCGCCCCAUAGAGCCCCAUAGAGCCCCAUAGAGCCCCAUAGAGCGCCAUAGCCGCCCCAUAGAGCCCCACAGCCGCCCCAUAGAGCCCCAUAGCCGCCCCAUAGCCGCCCCAUAGAGCCCCACAGCCGCCCCAUAGAGCCACAUAGAGCCCCAUAGAGCCCCAUAGAGCCGCCCCAUAGCCGCCCCAUAGAGCCCCAUAGAGCCCCAAAGCCGCCCCAUAGAGCCCGAUAGAGCCCCAUAGCCGCCCCAUAGAGCCCCAUAGAGUUCCAUAGCCGCCCCAUAGAGCCCCAUAGAGCCCCAUAGAGCCCCAUAGGCGCCCCAUAGAGCCCCAUAGAGCCCCAUAGAGCCCCAUAGAGCCCCAUAGCCGCCCCAUAGAGCCCCAUAGAGCCCCAUAGCCGCCCCAUAGAGCCCCAUAGAGCACCAUAGAGCCCCAUAGAGCCCCGUAGCCGCCCCAUAGAGCCUCAUAGAGCCCCAUAGAGCUCCAUAGAGCCCCAUAGCCGCCCCAUAGAGCCCCAUAGAUCCCCAUAGAGCCCCAUAGAGCCCCAUAGCCGCCCCAUAGAGCCCCAUAGCCGCCCCAUAGAGCCCCUUAGCCGCCCCAUAGAGCCCCAUAGAGCCCCAUAGAGCCCCAUAGCCGCCCCAUAGAGCCCCAUAGAGCCCCAUAGAGCCCCAUAGCCGCCCCAUAGAGCCCCAUAGAGCCCCAUAGAGCCCCAUAGCCGCCCCAUAGAGCCCCAUAGAGCCCCAUAGAGCCCCAUAGCCGAACCAUAGAGCCCCAUAGAGCCCCAUAGAGCCCCAUAGAGCCCCAUAGCCGCCCCAUAGAGCCCCAGAGAGCCACAUAGAGCCCCAUAGAGCCCCACAGAGCCCCAUAGAGCCCCAUAGAGCCCCAUAGAGCCCCAUAGCCGCCCCACAGAGCCCCAUAGAGCCCCAUAGAGCCCCAUAGAGCCGCACAGAGCCCCAUAGAGCCUUAUAGCCGCCCCAUAGAGCCCCAUAGAGCCCCAUAGAGCCCCAUAGAGCCCCAUAGAGCCCCAUAGCCGCCCCAUAGAGCCCCAUAGAGCCCCAUAGAGCCCCAUAGAGCCCCAUAGCCGCCCCAUAGAGCCCCAUAGCCGCCACAUAGCCGCCCCAUAGAGCCCCAUAGAGCCCCAUAGAGCCCCAUAGAGCCCCAUAGCCGCCCCAUAGAGCCCCAUAUAGCCCCAUAGAGCCCCAUAGCCGCCCCAUAGAGCCCCAUAGAGCCCCAUAGCCGCCCCAUAGAGCCCCAUAGAGCCCCAUAGAGCCCCAUAGCCGCCACAUAGCCGCCCCAUAGAGCCCCAUAGAGCCCCAUAGAGCCUCAUAGAGCCCCAUAGAGCCCCAUAGAGCCCCAUAGAGCCCCAUAGCCGCCCCACAGAGCCCCAUAGAGCCCCAUAGAGCCCCAUAGACGCCCCAUAGAGCCCGAUAGAGCCCCAUAGAGUGCCAUAGCCGCCCCAUAGAGCCCCAUAGAGCCACAUAGAGCCCCAUAGCCGCCCCAUAGAGCCGCAUAGUGGCCUUUAGCCGCCCCAUAGAGCCCCAUAGAGCCCCAUAGAGCCCCAUAGCCGCCCCAUAGAGCCCCAUAGAGACCCAUAGAGCCCCAUAGCCGCCCCAUAGAACCCCAUAGAGCCCCAUAGAGCCCCAUAGCCGCCCCAUAGCCGCCCCAUAGAGCCCCAUAGAGCCCCAUAGAGCCUUUUAGCCGCCCCAUAGAGCCCCAUAGAGCCCCAUAGAGCCCCAUAGCCGCCCCAUAGAGCCCCAUAGAGCCCCAUAGAGCCCCAUAGCCGCCCCAUAGAGCCCCAUAGAGCCCCAUAGAGCCCCAUAGAGUCCCAUAGAGCCCCAUAGCCGCCCCAUAGAGCCCCAUAGAGCCCCAUAGAGCGCCAUAGAGCCCCAUAGCCGCCCCAUAGAGCCCCAUAGAGCCCCAUAGCCGCCCCAAAGAGCCCCAUAGAGCCCCAUAGAGCCCCAUAGCCGCCCCGUAGAGCCCCAUAGCCGCCCCAUAGAGCCCCAUAGAGCCCCAUAGCCGCCCCAUAGAGCCCCAUAGAGCCACAUAGAGCCCCAUUGAGCCCCAUAGCCGCCCCAUAGAGCCCCAUAGAGCCCCAUAGCCGCCCCAUAGAGCUCCAUAGAGCCCCAUAGUGCCCCAUAGAGCCCCGUAGAGCCCCAUAGAGCCACAUAGAGCCCCAUAGAGCUCCAUAGAGCCCCAUAGCCGCCCCAUAGAGCCCCAUAGAGCCCCAUAGAGCCACAUAGAGCCCCAUAGCCGCCCCAUAGAGCCCCAUAGAGCCCCAUAGAGCCCCAUAGCCGCCCCAUAGAGCCCCAUAGAGCCCCAUAGAGCCACAUAGCCGCCCCAUAGAGCCCCAUAGAGCGCCAUAGCCGCCCCAUAGAGCCCCAUAGAGCCCCAUAGAGCCCCAUAGCCGCUCCAUAGACGCCCCAUAGAGCCCCAUAGAGCCCCAUAGCCGCCCCAUAGAGCCCCAUAGAGCCCCAUAGAGCCCCAUAGAGCCCCAUAGCCGCCCAAUAGAGCCCCAUAGAGCCCCAUAGAGCCCUAUAGCCGCCCCAUGGGGUCACCCCACUGUUUCUGGGGCCCCAAGGUGCCAUCAUUGGGGUCCCAUGGGGUCACCCCACUGUUACUGCGGUCCCAUGGGGUCACCCCACUGUCAUUGGGGUCCCAGUGGUGCCAUCAUUGGGGUCCUAUGGGGUCACCCCACUGUCAUUGGGGUCCCAGAAGUGCCAUCACUGGGGUCCCAUGGGGUCACCCCACUGCCAUGACUGCAGCCCUAUUGCUGUCGCCCCACUGCCGCCGUUGUGACAUCGGUGGGAAAAGUCCCCGAGAAAUGGGAAUUUAAAGUGAAAGCAGAACCCAAACCCACGCGUUU